rnacentral:rRNA from 1 species
GCUUAUCACAUAUAUAAUUGAAUAAUAUAAAUAAAAUAGAAUAAACCAAACACCAAAAACUAAACCAUUCUUUUACCUGAGUAUGGGAGACAGAAAAGGUUCAGCCAAAGCAAUAGAAAUAGUACCGCAAGGGAAAGCUGAAAGAGAAAUGAAAUAACCUAUAUAAGUAUUAAAAAGCAAAGACUAAACCUUGUACCUUUUGCAUCAUGAUUUAGCCAGUAAACGCAAGCAAAGAGACCUUUAGUUUGAAACCCCGAAACCAGGUGAGCUACCCCGAGACAGCCUAUUAAGGGCCAACCCGUCUCUGUGGCAAAAGAGUGGGAAGAGCUCCGGGUAGAAGUGACAGACCUACCGAACCUGGUGAUAGCUGGUUGCCUAAGAAAUGAAUAGAAGUUCAGCCUCGUACGCCUCAAAUCAAAUAAAUAUUAACCAAGACACUGGGAGAAAAACACGAGAGUUAGUUAAAGGGGGUACAGCCCCUUUAAUAAAGGAUACAACCUUAUUCAGGAGGAUAAAGAUCAUAAUAUAUAAAACAUACUGUUCUAGUGGGCCUAAAAGCAGCCACCUAAACAGAAAGCGUUAAAGCUCAGACAGAAAAAAGUUUAUUAUUCUGAUAAAAAAUCUUACUCCCCUAAAUAUUAUUAGGCUAAUCCAUGCCCCCAUGGAAGAAAUUAUGCUAAAAUGAGUAACAAGAAGGCCCGCCCUUCUCCAAGCACAAGUGUAGGCCAAACCGGACCAACCAUUGGCAACUAACGAACUCAAUCCAAGAGAGCAAUGUGAAUCAUAAAAAAAACAAGAAAAACCCACAACUUAAUAAUCGUUAACCCCACACUGGAGUGCUAUUAAAGGAAAGACUAAAAGAAAAGGAAGGAACUCGGCAAACACAAGCCUCGCCUGUUUACCAAAAACAUCGCCUCCUGCAACGCAAUCAUGUAUAGGAGGUCCAGCCUGCCCAGUGACUACAAGUUCAACGGCCGCGGUAUUUUGACCGUGCAAAGGUAGCGCAAUCACUUGUCUUUUAAAUAGAGACCUGUAUGAAUGGCUAAACGAGGGCUUAACUGUCUCCCCUUUCAAGUCAGUGAAAUUGAUCUGCCCGUGCAGAAGCG